rnacentral:tmRNA from 1 species
CAGCAGCUGGUUAAAAAUAAUUGACAGCACUAAGCAUGUAGAGCCAAAGGCGGAGUACUUGCGGACGCGGGUUCGAUUCCCGCCGCCUCCACCA